rnacentral:rRNA from 1 species
GUCCACGCCGUAACGAUGAGUACCAGUUGUCGCGGGUAUUGACCCCUGCGGUGCCGCAGCUAACGCAUUAAGUACUCCGCCUGGGAAGUACGGCCGCAAGGCUAAAACUCAAAGGAAUUGACGGGGCCCGCACAAGCGGUGGAGCAUGUGGUUUAAUUCGACGCAACGCGCAGAACCUUACCUGGGCUUGACAUCCGCGGAACCUCGUGGAAACACGGGGGUGCCUUUCGGGGAACCGCGAGACAGGUGCUGCAUGGCUGUCGU